rnacentral:rRNA from 1 species
AUGGCCAAAGGCCCAAAGGUAUCACACCCCGAGUAUGUUGAUUUCAAUAGUGAUGAAGAUGAUUUGCUAGGUGAUGAUGAUUUACUUGUUGACAACUCUAGUGAUGGAAACUAUGAUGAACUUGCUAUUAAUCGUGCUAAUCAAGAUAAAAUGAAUGAUGAUGAUAAGAAGGAGAUUGAGCGGCUAACUAAAGAACUUAAGUUAGCUCAUGAAACUACCUUGGAAGAUCAUCAAGAAGUUUUAAAGACUCAUGAGAAGCUACGCUUUGAAAAGCUCAACCUUGAGCAAGAGCAUGGGUUCUUAGCUAUCAAUGAUGAUCUUCGCAAGAAAAGUUCUUCUUACAUUGCCAAGCGUUUACUCUUGUCUACUUACAUGCCACAAGUUAAAUCUAGCAACAAGAGAAAGAAAGAUUCUUCUUCUAGUAGUAACAAUAAUCAUGUUAAAUCCAAUAUUGUUGCUUCUAGUAGUUCUCUUGAUUCCACUAACGAUUCUCUUAGCCAAGUUACACUUGAGCAAGAAAAUAGCUUAUUGAAGGAAAUUAUAGAGAAAGGUGUUUACAAGAGCCUUGCCGGGAGUAAGCAAUUUGAGGAAAUUGUACGCAAGCAAGGAAGGCACUGGAAGAAUCAAGGUGUUGGUUUUGAACGAAAGUUCAAUGCCAUGGAGUUGAGUGGGAAGAAGCAAUACCCCAAGACGAAGUUUGUUCCUCAACAAGAGAAGUAUGAUCCUACUUCUUUCCAAGGGACACAAGCUCAAGAUGAUCUUUCACCACAAGACCACAAGCAGAAGGGCAAGGACAAGCUUCAAGAGGAGAUUGAUGCAUUUGAAGAAGCUCCUAAGGCCUUGGUCAAGUGGGUUCCCAAGUGUACAUCAAUUUCUACUUCAUCAAGUACGACUACAACUCCAAGGAUUCCCAUCAAGAUGAUGUGGAUCCCGAAGAAGAAGAACUAG